ensembl:lncRNA
UAAACGUCUCUAAAAUGGCAAUUCUCAAACUUCAGCUCCAUCGGUAUCACCUGUAAGACUUGUUAAAGCCCAGCUCAGUCAGUAUUCUGUGAGCAGGUCUCGGGUGGGGCUAGGGGGCUUGGAUUUUACCAAGUUCCCAAGUGGGGCUGACGCCACUUGUCCAGGGUUCACACUUGGGAAACCAUUGCUCUAAGACUCACCUUGCAACCAUUGUGUUCAAUGACCAAUUCCCUCAUGGCUGCCAGAAUCCAAACAUCCCGACAGGUGAUAUGGGAGGAUCAAACUGGAGUGCCUUGGAACCAUCUGCCACGUGCGAGUUGGUCAUCCAUUACACUUAAGAUUUGUUUUCUUGUUGGUAAAGAGGAAAGAGCAUUGGAUCAGGUGGAGAAAGACCUGGAUUCCAAUUCUGAGUCUUGAAGCUGUCAUUUACAACCCCUUGGGGGCAUUUUUGAACCUCCUCAAACUUCAGUCUCUCUGCCAGAACUUCAUGACUCCUGUGAAGUAGGCCCUGCUCUCUGACCUUCUCGGAUCUCCCCCAGGGAAGUCUGACCUCCCAUCUCCUGAGACCUUUGUCUUAUACUCUCAUGAACUGCAGUGGUAUGUGUUUAUUGCAGUAAAACUGAGUUCCUUGAGGGCAGAGAUGAGUUUUAUCUGUAUUUAUUCUCAAGUAACCAGAGAUAUCCCUGGCAAAGAGCAGAUACUCAUUAAAUGUUUACUAUUGAGUGAAUAAAAGUAAUAAACCUGGGUUCCAAAUAGCCCUUUAGGCCCUGGCUUUAUGCUAAUUCUCUAAUUUUAGCCGCUGCUUUGAAGUAUGAUUAGAAUAGAAUACCCCACCAGGUAGCGCUGAGAACACAGACACAUAAUUCAGUACUUAAUACGACUCUCCAGGGACAAAUCCCUGGUUAGGCUGCUGAGCUAUAAAUGAUCUUUUUUUAAAAAAAAAUUUUGAGAUUUAAUGAUACAUGGAAUUAUUUUUGCAGCUCUUAGCGCAUCCCAGUCUUGACUUUGGGACAAGGAUACAAUUGCUGGAAAGAUCCCAGUAAUUCCUGCAGUGUGGCUACAUAAUAUAGAGGACCCAUGAGUGUUCCGGCCACAAAAGGAAACCAGGGCACCCCAAAGGGGAGGGACAAGCUUCACUGAGCUCUGCAGUCCCCCAAGUCGUCCAAGCCGAUCAGAGACAAGCUCGUCUCAGCCUUCCAGAAGUUCAUGUUUGCUGUUCCCACAGCUC